rnacentral:lncRNA from 1 species
AAACUUAUGAUGAAUCCUCUAAUUUUAAUUUCUAUUUUUACGUGAUAAAUACUUGAUUCUUGUUCUUAAUUAUGUAUGUUUAUUUCUUGUUUUAAUAUUUUCGGGAUACUAAUUCAUAUCUAAUGUGCUUAUUUCUGUGGAGCAAAAUUCCCUGUUGAAGAGUAGAUCUAGCAUAAUUUAGUAGAGUUGUAUGCAAUCAUAGAAAUAGGACUACAAAAAUCUAUCGGAUUGGAGUCAAAUCUAAUAAGGGAAUCCAUAGAUCGAGGUAAUGCAAUAAUAGGG